rnacentral:rRNA from 1 species
UACGUAGGGGGCAAGCGUUGUCCGGAAUCAUUGGGCGUAAAGCGCGCGUAGGCGGCCCGGUAAGUCCGCUCUGAAAGUCCAGGGCUCAACCCUGGAAAGCGGGUGGAUACUGCCGGGCUAGAAUCCGGAAGAGGCGAGUGGAAUUCCUGGUGUAGCGGUGGAAUGCGCAGAUAUCAGGAGGAACACCAAUAGCGAAGGCAGCUCGCUGGGACGGUAUUGACGCUAAGGCGCGAAAGCCAGGGGAGCGAACGGG